GCAAGUCGAACGAAGAACCCACUUUGGGUAACCAGUGUGGAAUUCUUAGUGGCGAACGGGUGAGUAACACGUGAGAAACCUGCCCCGGAGACCGGAAUAGCCCAGGGAAACCUGGAUUAAUACCGGAUACCCUCUUGCGAUCGCAUGAUCGAUUGAGGAAAUGGUCCGCCGCUCCGGGAUGGUCUCGCGCCCUAUCAGCUAGUUGGUGAGGUAACGGCUCACCAAGGCAAUGACGGGUAGCUGGUCUGAGAGGACGAUCAGCCACACUGGGACUGAGACACGGCCCAGACUCCUACGGGAGGCAGCAGCAGGGAAUUUUGCACAAUGGGCGAAAGCCUGAUGCAGCGACGCCGCGUGGGGGAUGAAUGCCUUCGGGUUGUAAACCCCUUUCAGGAGGGACGAAGCGAAAGUGACGGUACCUCCAGAAGAAGCCCCGGCCAACUACGUGCCAGCAGCCGCGGUAAUACGUAGGGGGCGAGCGUUGUCCGGAUUUAUUGGGCGUAAAGAGCUC
rnacentral:rRNA from 1 species